rfam:Gossypium raimondii chromosome 4, whole genome shotgun sequence.
AUCCCAUGAUGAGGACACGUACAAAGUAAUUCCUUGAAUCUUUUCCACGCCUCCUAUAGUGAACCGUCAUCUAAUUGUUGGAAAAUAGUUAUCUCAUUACGCACUUU